AGUCAUAUGCUUGUCUCAAAGACUAAGCCAUGCAUGUCUAAGUACACAUCAUCUAACGAUGAAACCGCGAAUGGCUCAUUAAAUCAGCUAUGGUUCCUUGGAUCUUGUAUCUAACAUGGAUAACUGUGGGAAUUCUAGAGCUAAUACAUGCAUCAAAGCCAUGACCGCAAGGGAACGGCGCAUUUAUUAGAUCAAAACCAACCGGGCUUCGGCCUGAGUGAUUUGAUGACUCUGGAUAAACUUGAGCAGAUCGCAUGGCCUCGAGCCGGCGACGUAUCCUUCAAAUGUCUGCCCUAUCAACUUACGUUGGUAGGUUACCUGCCUACCAUGGUGAUCACGGGUAACGGGGAAUCAGGGUUCGAUUCCGGAGAGGGAGCAUGAGAAACGGCUACCAGAACUACGGUUUGCAGCAGGCGCGCAAAUUACCCACUCCCGGUAUGGGGAGGUAGUGACGAAAAAUAACAAUACGGGUCUUUUUAUAGGCCCCGUAAUUGGAAUGAGUACACCUUAAAACCAUUAACGAGUACCAAUUGGAGGGCAAGUCUGGUGCCAGCAGCCGCGGUAAUUCCAGCUCCAAUAGCGUAUAUUAAAGUUGUUGCAGUUAAAAAGCUCGUAGUUGGAUCUGAGGAGUGGAGCCAAUGGUUGGUCGCAUGACUACACUGUUGGCUCGGCCUACAUAGUCGGUGAUUGUUUUGGUGCUCUUAAUUGAGUGCCUUAAUUACCCGGCCACGUUUACUUUGAAAAAUUGGGAGUGCUCAAAUCAGGCCUACUGCCUGA
rnacentral:rRNA from 1 species